UCCGAGUUGUCCCCGGCAGUCCUUUUAGAGUCCCCGGCAUUACCCGCUGGCAACUAAAAGCAGGGGUUGCGCUCGUUGCGGCACUUAAGCCAACACCUCACGGCACGAGCUGACGACAGCCAUGCAGCACCUGUACACCCCCAAAAGAAGCCCCAUCUCUGGAGCGGCAGGAUGUAUGUCAAACCCAGGUAAGGUUCUUCGCGUUGCAUCGAAUUAAUCCGCAUGCUCCGCCGCUUGUGCGGGCCCCCGUCAAUUCCUUUGAGUUU
rnacentral:misc_RNA from 1 species